UACGUAGGGGUGCAAGCGUUGUCCGGAAUUAUUGGGGCGUAAAAGAGCUCGUAGGCGGUCUGUCGCGUUCUGCUGUGAAAAACUCGGGGGCUUAACCCCCGGGGUCUGCAUUCGAUACGGGGCAGGCUAGAGUUCGGUAGGGGAGAUCGGAAUUCCUGGUGUGCGGGUGAAAUGCGCAGAUAUCAGGGAGGAACACCCGGUGGGCGAAGGCGGGAUCUCUGGGGCCGAUACUGACGCUGAGGGAGCGAAAGCGUGGGGAGCGAACAGG
rnacentral:rRNA from 1 species